AUCUUCGGUGAGACUGGAUGAAGUCCGGAGAGGCGAGAUGGCCAGUUGAUUCCCGCAAGCCAACUGGGCAAUCCCUAAGUGGGAGAGUCCAGAGGAGUGAGAGCUGUGAUCUCAUUGGCUCUGGCUGGGAGGUGGGGCGAGGCCUGCGGGGCGGAAGAAAACCUGGGAAAUCUCAGGCAAGCCGGAGCUGCACUGGAGCUGCCACGGUUCUUGGUCCCUACGCCUGAGCUCGUGUGCUCCAACGGGCUGCAGAAUGGAAAAAGGAGAGGACCCGGGAAGUCUGAUUAAAGUCAUCCACUUGCUGGUCUUGUCUGGUGCCUGGGGCAUGCAGGUGUGGGUGACCUUUAUCUCAGGCUUCCUGCUUUUUCGGAGCCUCCCGCGGCACACAUUUGGACUGGUGCAGAGCAAGGUCUUCCCAGUCUAUUUUCACGUCUCCUUGGGCUGUGCCUUCAUCAACCUCUGCAUCUUGGCACCACAGCGAGCCUGGAUUCACCUCACACUGUGGGAAGUCAGUCAGGUCAGCUUUGGCUAUAGAGCGAGGUCCACUCCAGCCCAGGCAACUCAGUGAGACCUUGACUCAAACUGAAAAGAGCAGAGGCUGGGCCGUGACUUGGACAGAAGAGUGCUUGCUGUGCAAACAUGAGACCCAGCUUUCCCUGCUGCUUCUGAGCCUCACACUGGCCACCAUCAAUGCUCGCUGGCUUGAGGCUCGCACCACGGCUGUCAUGCGGGCCCUGCAGAGCAUAGAGAAAGAGCGGGGCCUGGGGACAGAGGUGCCAGGCAACUUCCAGGGCCCUGAUCCCUACCGCCAGCUGCGGGACAAGGACCCCAAGUACAGUGCUCUACGCCGGAAGUUCUACCACUACCAUGGCCUGUCUUCCCUCUGCAACCUGGGGUGCCUGCUGAGCAAUGGGCUCUGCCUUGUGGGCCUUGCCCUGGGACUCAGGAGCCUCUAACACAGACCCUGUGUGUCAAUAAAUGCUUCUUUGGA